rnacentral:rRNA from 1 species
UACGUAGGGACCAAGCGUUGUUCGGAUUUACUGGGCGUAAAGGGCGCGUAGGCGGCUUGACAAGUCACUUGUGAAAUCUCCGGGCUUAACUCGGAACGGCCAAGUGAAACUGUCAUGCUAGAGUGCAGAAGGGGCAAUCGGAAUUCUUGGUGUAGCGGUGAAAUGCGUAGAUAUCAAGAGGAACACCUGAGGUGAAGACGGGUUGCUGGGCUGACACUGACGCUGAGGCGCGAAAGCCAAGGGAGCAAACGGG